UAAUAGCAAGAACUUGAUUGGCAUCAACUUUUGUAAUCAUCAUGCAAGUCAUAAGUGAGAGGAACUCUAAAAAUCGGAAUUCUGACAAGAGAACUAAGCAUACGACUGGAAAUUUAUCAUUUCCUGAAUCAGAAGAUGUAUUGACAAAAGAGAAUGCUAAUGUGAAGCUAACUGCUGAUAAAGUUUGGCUUAUCAAACACACUCGUAAGAAUGAUCAAGGAAAACAAGAAUAGCUCGAUACGCGGUCAAAAGAAAUCCAUGUGAAGUUGAAAGAUGUUGUUGCAUCAGCUGGGGAUUCAAUGACACAAGAUGAAAUUUUGCUUAGAGUUCUGGGCCAAAAGUCAGGGCAUGUACGUGGAAAAGGGACAGGGGUACGUGUAUAUUCUAAAGGCAAAGCACAAAUAGAACAACGUAAGAUUGUGGAGCAACAACAAGAGAAAAUUCAAGAGCAACAACAACAAAUUAAAGAUUUGAUGGAAAGUCAGUUGCUACAACAACGACAAUUUGAAGAAUAUAAGUCACAACAACAAGAAACAAUUGAAUCGAUGAAACAAAGCAUCUUACAACAGCUACAGAAUAAAGAAGUUCAAUGAUUG